CCUACGGGGGGCAGCAGUGGGGAAUAUUGGACAAUGGGGGGAACCCUGAUCCAGCCAUGCCGCGUGUGUGAAGAAGGCCCUCGGGUUGUAAAGCACUUUCAGUGAGGAAGAACGCCUGGUGGUUAAUACCCAUCAGGAAAGACAUCACUCACAGAAGAAGCACCGGCUAACUCCGUGCCAGCAGCCGCGGUAAUACGGAGGGUGCGAGCGUUAAUCGGAAUUACUGGGCGUAAAGCGCGCGUAGGUGGCUUGAUAAGCCGGUUGUGAAAGCCCCGGGCUCAACCUGGGAACGGCAUCCGGAACUGUCAAGCUAGAGUGCAGGAGAGGAAGGUAGAAUUCCCGGUGUAGCGGUGAAAUGCGUAGAGAUCGGGAGGAAUACCAGUGGCGAAGGCGGCCUUCUGGACUGACACUGACACUGAGGUGCGAAAGCGUGGGUAGCAAACAGGAUUAGAUACACCUGUAGUC
rnacentral:rRNA from 1 species